UGAGAUGGUUGACCAGAGAGCACACGCUUUAUUUGUGUCGUUUGUGACCUGGUCCACUAACCCU
rfam:Myotis davidii contig131788, whole genome shotgun sequence.